UCACAGUAAAACUGUAACUUAGCGGGUACAGCCUCAGUGUUCACAGUAAAGCAGGUACAGCCUCAGUGUUCACAGUAAAGCAGGUACAGCCUCAGUGUUCACAGUAAAGCAGGUACAGCCUCAGUGUUCACAGUAAAGCAGGUACAGCCUCAGUGUUCACAGUAAAGCAGGUACAGCCUCAGUGUUCACAGUAAAGCAGGUACAGCCUCAGUGUUCACAGUAAAGCAGGUACAGCCUCAGUGUUCACAGUAAAGCAGGUACAGCCUCAGUGUUCACAGUAAAGCAGGUACAGCCUCAGUGUUCACAGUAAAGCAGGUACAGCCUCAGUGUUCACAGUAAAACUGUAACUUAAAGCAGGUACAGCCUCAGUGUUCACAGUAAAGCAGGUACAGCCUCAGUGUUCACAG